GACAGUAGCAGCAGCAGGGUGCUGCCGGGCGGGCGGUGUCUCCCAGGCGGCCUUGCCCGGAUGUGCUACCCUGACUCAUAGUCGCGCCGCACGCAGGCUCCGCGCUGCUGCCGUGCUCUCCCGUCCCGCUUCGCGCACACGCCUCCCGCGCCUCCCUCCGCGCCAGCGGGGAGGCGGUGGCUGCAGCAGCGGCAGGAGGGGAAGGAGGAGGAGGCCGCGGCGGCACCAUGGAUAAUCUAAGUGAUGCCCUGAAAAAGCUGAAGAUAACAACCACUGACAGCACAGCAGAUAGCUUGGAGGGAUGCUUGGACUGUCUGCUUCAAGCUCUGGCACAAAACAAUAUGGAGACAAGUGAAAAAAUCCAGAAAAGUGGAGUUCUUCAGGUGUUCGGGAGUCUGUUGACGCCACAAUCUUCCUGCACAGCAAAAGUAGCUAACAUCAUAGCAGAAGUAGCCAGAAAUGAAUUUAUGCGAAACCCAUGUGUGGAUGCCGGGUUGAUCCCUCCUUUGGUGCAGCUGUUAAACUGCAAAGACCAGGAAGUAUUGCUUCAAACAGGACGUGCCCUGGGCAAUAUAUGCUACGAUAGCCAGUCAAGUAAAGAGCAGUUUGCCUACACAAACAUUGCUGAAGAGCUUGUUAAACUGUUCAAGAAGCAAAUAGAGCAUGAUAAAAGAGAGAUGAUUUUUGAAGUUUUGGCUCCCCUGGCAGAAAAUGAUGUCAUUAAACUGCAGCUGGUUGAAGCUGGCUUGGUGGAGUGCCUACUUGAGAUUGUCCAGAAGACUGUGGACAGUGACAAAGAAGAUGAUGUUGCAGAGCUUAAAACAGCUUCUGAUCUUAUGGUUUUAUUAUUGCUUGGAGAUGAAUCCAUGCAAAAGUUAUUUGAAGGAGGAAAAGGCAGCGUAUUCCAAAGAGUACUUUCGUGGAUUCCUUCCAACAGCCAUCAGCUACAGCUUGCAGGAGCAUUGGCUAUUGCAAAUUUUGCCAGAAAUGAUGGAAACUGCAUCCAUAUGGUGGAUAAUGGCAUAGUUCAAAAGCUGAUGGAUCUGCUAGACAGACAUGUGGAGGACGGAAAUGUAACUGUGCAGCAUGCUGCACUGAGUGCUCUCAGAAACCUGGCUAUUCCUGUUGUAAAUAAGGCUAAGAUGCUAUCAGCUGGUGUUGCAGAAGCUGUAUUGAAAUUUCUCAGAUCGGAGAUGCCCCCUGUUCAGUUCAAGCUGCUGGGAACAUUAAGAAUGUUAAUAGAUGCACAAGCAGAAGCCGCUGAACAGCUGGGCAAAAAUAUCAAACUGGUGGAACGGUUGGUGGAAUGGUGUGAAGCCAAGGAUCACGCAGGUGUGAUGGGGGAAUCCAACAGACUACUUUCCGCACUUAUACGACACAGCAAAUCUAAAGAUGUAAUUAGGACCAUUGUACAGAGUGGAGGCAUAAAGCAUCUAGUAACCAUGGCAACCAGUGAACAUGUAAUAAUGCAAAACGAAGCUCUUGUUGCACUGGCAUUAAUAGCGGCUUUAGAGUUAGUCACUGCUGAAAAGGAUCUCGAAAACGCUCAGCUUGUUCAGAUUCUACACAGACUGCUCUCAGACGACAGGAGUGCUCCAGAAAUAAAAUACAACUCCAUGGUGUUGAUCUGUGCCCUUAUAGGAUCUGAGCCUCUUCAAAAGGAAGUGCAGAGCAUGGCGUUUCUAGAAGUCAUAUCAAAACUCCGCAGCCAUGAGAACAAAACUGUUGCCCAGCAGGCCUCACUAACAGAGCAGAGACUUGCUGUAGAAAGCUGA
ensembl:lncRNA